UGUCCUUCAUCGCAUGUCCAUCCUCCAUCGCAUUGGAUCAGCAAUGGAUUUGAUGAUGAAGAGGAUGAACCGCUGGGAGAGGAGUGGUCUCCCUACUUCCCCUCCAACCUGCAACGCUACCAUCUCCUCCAGCGGUAUCCGGUACCAGCGCCCUGCGUAUUGCGCCUCCGAGGGAGUACGAUGGAGCGGCGGCGGGGUGCCAGGGAUUCCUGCUCCAACUCAAGCUUUACCUGGCCACCGUUCAGCCGGCUCCCUCGGACGAGGAGAGCGUGAGUGUCCUCGUCUCUUGCGUGACGGGUAGAGCCCUGGAGUGGGCCAAUGCUGUCUGGAACGGGCCCGAUUCGGCCAGGGGUCACUACCCGUUUUCGAUCACCCUCCGGAGGGCCAAGCGGCGGGUGAGAGACUGUUCCAUCUCAGGCAGGGGACGAGGAGCGUUCAGGACUUCGCUCUGGAGUUCCGGACCUUGGCCGCUGGAGCGGGGUGGAACGACAGGGCCCUGCUAGACCAUUACAGGUGUAGCCUGAGAGAGGACGUCCGCAGAGUGCUGGCUUGUCGGGACACCACGCUCACCCUGGACGAACUCAUAGACCUGACGAUCAGGCUCGACAAUCUGCUGGCUGCUCGCGGACGUUCUGAAAGGGUCUUGUCUGUUCCACCCGCUCCCAUACCUAUGGAGCAGGGGGGGCUGCAUCUAGGGAGACCGGAGGAGGAGGCUCCUCCUGCACCAGCUGUGGCCGGAGAGGGCACACUUCUGGUCGGUGCUGGAGGAGUCCAUCCGGGAGUCGAGAGGGCAGGCAAAACACUUCUCGGUCACCCCAGUGGUCGGCAGAGGCGGGCGGAGCUUUCCGUCGUUUGAAGGCGCUGUUCACCGACGCGCCAGUGUUGGCGCAUCCGUACCCUUCUUUGGCAGUCAUAGUGGAGGUGGACGCAUCCGAGGCUGGGGCCAUUCAAAAUCCUGAAGAGAAUAUAGAGGUGUGUUAUCAAUUAUUACUUCCUUCGUAUUAUCCCCUCAUUUCAUGUGUCUCUCCUCAGGCCGGUGGUAGCUGGUCCCCUGCAGGAAGGUGAGGUUCCGGAGGUCCCUCCGACCCCUCUGGACAUCAAGGGGUCCCCGGCGUACACGAUAGGGGCCAUUCUGGACUCGAGACGCCAGGUGAGGGGCCUGCAGUACCUCGUGGACUGGGAGGGGUACGGGCCAGAGGAGAGGUGCUGGUUCCCGGUGGGGGACAUAUUGGAUCCAUCUAUGUUGAGGGAGUUCCAUCGUCGUCCCCGAGGCCGGUCGUCGUCGCCGGUCUACUAGCUGCCACCGAUCCCUUUUUCCCUUUUCAUUUGGUUUUGUCUAAUUGUUUUCACCUGUUCAUUGUUGGGGUUUUGGGGUUGGGGUUGUUUAAGUUCGAUUAGCCCGCUUGUGUUUGUGCGGGCUUGUUGCUGUUUAUGUAAUAAGUGUAUUUGAUUAUUGUUGGGUUUUCGCUGUCCGGUAUAUACCAGUGGUACUCGGGUUGUGUUUUACGCCUGUGUUCGGCGUCACCCAUUGUACGUGUUCCUGUUUUUGGACAUUAAAGUGUUUUUCCCUCGAA
ensembl:lncRNA